GAACGAUAAUGACCAUUUGUGGGAUACCGAAUGGGAUAACUCGCUAAAUUCACGUCGAUUGUCGUACCUUUUUCCGAAGUAUCUUCUGGGUACUGAGUCGUUAACCUUGAAGUACUGAUUCAAAAUCAUGGCUUUGCCUUGGAUUUUUCCGUGUACAAACUAGAGAUGGAGCUUACAGAUUUAACAUCCACUGGAUAUUUUUCGAACAAACUUGCAACAAGAAAGUUUAUGAUGGUGAUGAUAGAAGCAGAGUUGAAGCAAGGGAUUGGAGGGAUCCAAGGUCUGGAUAUUGUUUGUGUGUCAUCCCCAUCAAGGUGCCGAUGAGGUGGACUUUAGCACGGUGCUUUCUAGUAGGAUGAAAUUAAUCAAAACGUCGUGCCUUAGUAUUAAUUUCAACAGAUGGGUUACUCUGUUUCGUGCACUAAAUGCAUUUGUGAAUACAAUUACUUUCUUUUUGAUGGGCAUGCAGGCCAUGCUGUUGUGAAUACAAAUUACCUAUCUUCAAGUCUACUUAUGAGUACUUAACAUUUUGGGACAAGGUGCUUGAUGAAUUUAAUGACGGCGCACUGGUUUAAUGCCAUGGACUUAUUUGCAUGCGCAUUUGCUUUUGCAUGAGAUCAUGUGUCACCCUUUUUGGCUGGAAAAUUUUGUUUGCUAAUUCAUGAAUUGGAGUGUUUUGUUUCUCUAAUACUGAACAAUCUGUAUCAUAGAUCUAGUAUGAGAAACUACUCUGAGGUGCUGAUUCAUGUGGGUGCUUAACAAGUGCCCUGAGGUGCUGAAUCAUAUGGGUGCUUAACAAGCUUUUGUGUGGUGCUGAAUCAUAUGGGUGCUUAACAAGUUUCUGUGUGGUGCUGAAUCAGUGUUUAUGCAUUACUAUGGUUGUAUAUUGCCUCACUGUAGUGCUGAAUCAGAGUACGAGAUCAUGUUGCAUAGCAUAUCAGGCGCUCUUCUAUGGUUUAUAUUCAUUAUGACCUUGUACUUGUCAGUUGCCUUGUUAUGUCUUGAUACUUAAGAUUUUCAACCGGGGUGACGGAUGUGUUUUGCUUAUGACGUGUUGCUAGAUGAAUCCGCUUGUUUGUGCUUCUUUUAAUAUCUAUGAAAAUAGAAUUGUCAUUUCUUAAAUUCAAGCUUGCCAUUUUUCCAUCAGAUUUGGUGUAUGUCCUAAUUGACCAGUGUUCUUAUUUUUUUGCUGGUUAAGUACCCAAGGUGCUUAACAAGCUUCUCCGAGGUGCUGAAUGUAUGAGGUGCUUAACAAGCUUCUCCGAGGUGCUGAAUCGUAUGAGGUGCUUAACAAGCUUCUCCGAGGUGCUGAAUCGUAUGAGGUGCUUAAUAAGCUUCUCCGGGGUGUUGAAUCAUAUGAGGUGCUUAACAAGCUUAUCCGAGGUGCUGAAUCGUAUGGGGGUGCUUAACAGGCUUCUUUGAGGUGCUGAACAGUUAAAGCGGGAUGCCGAAUCAUGGUGGCCUAUGACCAUGGACGACCAACGAGGCAACACCUACCAGGUUGAUGUGAGGCACAAUCCAAUCUUUAGAUAUCUGGUACCUAAUGCCUGGCUAUCAAGUUCAGAAAGCUAAAAGCACUGGACGUUUGCUGUGUGGUACCGAAUUCCUAUUUCUGUUCAUCUGACGUCAAAGCCCAGGCAGGAGAUGGGCUGUUAAGUACCUCUCCACUACUGCCAAGCCCAAUGCACCGGGUGGGUACCUAAUUGAUUCAAAUUUCGAAUCGGUUGUCUGCCAGGCCCAUGUGCAUCGUUGGCAGAGAAGUGCAGAAGGCCCAGGACGGGACGCUGACAGCUACUUUGUUGUUUUCACUGCCUUUACAUGAAAUCUGAUUCGAAAUGUGUUCUGCAAAACUGAAUUUGAACCUGACUAGGAGCAGUCCAAAAGCAGUAUACAGACUGUGUUGUUUCCAUUUUUUUUGCAAUGGGCUGACCCAUGGCAGGCCAUGCACUUAUUUUGUAAAAUUGAUAUGAG